rnacentral:lncRNA from 1 species
CGUCUGACAAUAGUCAGAGUAAGACGCUUUUUCUUGUCCCCUUCAAACUCUGACCAUAGACUAUAGGCCUAAUAGGGGCAGAGAAUGCUUUAAAAAGUAAUUGACAAAGCGGUUUAAGCAGGAUGGAGUGUUUGUACAGUAGAACGCUUUUAUCAGCGUGAAACACUCACAGGAAUUCCGGUUUGGGAUUGUCCAUCCAAUUCCUGCGUUCCACAGGAAGCUCUGGAUAAAAAGCAACUGAAAAACGCCCAAAGGCAUUUCAUUUCUCUCCUGUCGGUUCACGGGGAGCAUCUAAACAUUAACCGUUGAGGUUUUAUUCUAAGAAAAAACCGUGGGGACGAGCUAAAAAUAAAUUGCAACGAUGGAAGAGUCCACUAAACUGGCUGUCAAGUGGUUGGAGUUGGUUCCCAUGGCAGCAUCUGCUCAGCGUGCGCGAGACGCAGCACCACAUGACCCCAUACUGAGGGGGAGGAGGGUGUGUGGCAGAGAUAUUCAUCACAGCAGUGUCAUCACGACGACAGAGUCGUUCGUCCAGCCCGUUCACAAACCCUACAUCACCCUGUGUCAGGGGCACCGCCUCUGUAGCACCUACAAGUAAGUGACACAGCCAUGACUCUCCUGACCACUACUGUUGCUAUCACUGUCAAUAUCUCUAAUGCUAUCAAUGUCAAUAUCGCUAUCGCUGCCAAUAUCUCUUGAUAGCUCUAUCGCUGUCAAUAUCUCUAUUGCUAUCACUGUCAAUAUCGCAGUCGAUAUCGCUAUCACUGUCAAUAUCUCUAUCGCUAUCAAUAUCGUGAUCGCUACUACUGUCAGUAUCGCUAUCGUUGUCAAUAUCACUGUCAAUAUCGCUGUCACUAUCGCUGUCGAUAUCGCUAACAAUAUCACUAUCGCUGUUAAUAUUGCUAUCACUGUCAAUAUCACUCAAUAUCGCUAUCACUGUCAAUAUCUCUAUCGCUGUCAAUAUCUCGAUUGCUACUACUGUCAAUAUCGCUAUCGUUGUCAAUAUCGCUGUCACUAUCGCUGUUAAUAUUGCAAUCACUCAAUAUCGCUAUCACUGUCACUAUCGCUGUCAAUAUCUCGAUCGCUACUACUGUCAAUAUCGCUAUCGCUGUCAAUAUCUCGAUCGCUACUACUGUCAAUAUUGCUAUCGUUGUCAAUAUCGCUGUUAAUAUUGCUAUCACUCAAUAUCGCUAUCACUGUCACUAUCGCUGUCAAUAUCUCUAUAAUUGUCAAUAUUUCUAUCGUUAUCACUAUCAUUGUCAAUAUCUCUAUCACUAUCACGAUAACUGUCAAUAUUUCUAUCACUGUCAAUAUCUCUAUCGUUAUCAAUAUCACUAUCACUGUCAAUAUCACUAUCAUUGUCAAUUUCUCUGUCGCUAUCACUGUCAAUAUCUCUAUUGCUGUCAAUAUCUUGAUCACUGUCAAUAUCUUGAUCACUGUCAAUAUCUCGAUCGCUGUCAAUAUUUCUAUUGCUGUCAAUAUCUCUAUCAAUAUCGCUAUCGCUGUCAAUAUCGCUAUCACUGUCAAUAUCUCUAUCGCUAUCAUUGUAAAUAAUGCUAUUACUGUCAAUAUCUCUAUCGCUAUUACUGUCAAUAUCGCUAUCGACAUCGCUAUCACUGUCCAUAUCUCUAUCGCUGUCAAUAUCUCUAUCGCUACCACUGUCGAUAUCGUUGUCAAUAUCUCUUUCGCUAUCACUGUCACUAUCGCUAUCACUGUCAAUAUCGCUGUCAAUAUUGCUAUCGCUGUCAAUAUUGCUAUCGCUGUCAAUAUUGCUAUCGCUGUCAAUAUUGCUAUCGCUGUCAUUAUCGCUAUCGCUGUCAAUAUCACUGUCACUAUCUCUAUCGCUCUCAAUAUUUCUAUCGUUAUCACUAUCAUAUCUCUCACGAUCACUGUCAAUAUCGCGAUCACUGUCAAUAUUUCUAUCGCUGUCAAUAUCUCUAUCGUUAUCAAUGUCGCUAUCGCAGUCAAUAUCUCUAUUGCUAUCACUGUCAAUAUCAAUGUUGUUAUCGCAGUCAAUAUCUAUAUUGCUAUCACUGUCAAUAUCAAUGUUGUUAUCGCAGUCAAUAUCUCUAUUGCUAUCACUGUCAAUAUCGCUACCAAUAUCGCUAUCGCUAUCAAUAUUUCUAUCACUGUCAAUAUUUCUAUCACUGUCAAUAUUUCUAUUGCUGUCAAUAUCGCUGUCAAUAUCGCUAUCGCUGUCAAUAUCACUACCAAUAUCUCUAUCGCUAUCACUGUAAAUAAUGCUAUCACUGUCAAUAUCGCUAUUACUGUCAAUAUCUCUAUCGCUAUCACUGUCAAUAUCUAUCACUGUCAAUAUCACUUUCACUGUCGCUGUCAAUAUUUCUAUCGCUGUCAAUAUUUCUAUCGCUGUCAAUAUCUCUAUUGUAUCAAUAUCACUAUCAUUGUCUCUAUCACUGUCAAUAUCACUAUCAUUGUCAAUUUCUCUGUCACAAUCACUAUCAAUAUCUCUAUCACUGUCAAUAUCUAUCACUGUCAAUAUCACUGUCAAUAUCACUUUCACUGUCGCUGUCAAUAUUUCUAUCGCUGUCAAUAUUUCUAUCGCUGUCAAUAUCUCUCUUGUAUCAAUAUCACUAUCAUUGUCUCUAUCACUGUCAAUAUCACUAUCAUUGUCAAUUUCUCUGUCACAAUCACUAUCAAUAUCUCUAUCACUGUCAAUGUCGCGAUCACUGUCAAUAUUUCUAUCGCUGUCAAUAUCUCUAUCGUUAUCAAUAACGCUAUCGUAGUCAAUAUCUCUAUCGCUAUCACUGUCAAUAUCGCUAUCGCUAUCACUGUCUAUUGCUGUCAAUAUCGCUAUCACUGUCAAUAUCACUACCAAUAUCACUGUCAAUAUCGCUAUCACUGUCAAUAUCACUACCAAUAUCACUGUCAAUAUCGCUAUCACUGUCAAUAUCACUACCAAUAUCACUGUCAAUAUCGCUAUCACUGUCAAUAUCACUACCAAUAUCACUGUCAAUAUCGCUAUCACUGUCAAUAUCACUACCAAUAUCACUGUCAAUAUCGCUAUCACUGUCAAUAUCACUACCAAUAUCACUGUCAAUAUCGCGAUCACUGUCAAUAUCUCUAUAACUGUCAAUAUUUAUAUCGCUGUCAAUAUCGCUAUCACUGUCAAUAUUUAUAUCGCUGUCAAUAUCUCUAUCGCUAUCACUGUCAAUAUUGCUAUCACUGUAAAUAAUGCAAUCGCUGUCAAUAUCUCUAUCGCUAUUACUGUCAAUAUCUCUAUCGCUAUCAACAUUGCUAUCACUGUCCAUAUCGCUAUCACUGUCAAUAUUGCUAUCACUGUCAGUAUAUGUCACUGUAAAUAUCUCUAUCGCUGUCACUGUCAAUAUCUCUAUUGCUAUCACUGUCAAGAUCGCUAUCACAGUCAAUAUCUCUAUCGCUGUCAAUAUCUAUCGCUAUAGCUGUCAGUAUCUCUAUCGCUGUCAAUAUCUCUAUCGCUGUCACUGUCAAUAUCUCUAUCAAUUUCACUAUCACUGUCACUGUCAAUAUUGUUAUCAAUAUUGCUAUCACUGCAAACCCCCUGGGCGCACACUGGUUGAAUCAACGUUGUUUCUUCAUGAGCCUGAACCAACAUGAAAUAGACAUUAAACUGAUGUCUGUGCCCAGUGGGAACAUCCCACCUAAUCUUAUCAUAAUACCAUGUACAGUAGAGGUGUGCUGAGUAGUCGGACAAAACGAGUAUCGUAAAGGAAUAUGGGCAAUUUUCUGGAUAUGAUUAUGAUCCGAGUAUUUCUUUAAAUGAUCCGUGAUCGGGGGAAAAAAAGUAAUUUUCGGGUGCCAGAAGGCAUCUUUCUCAUGUCAGUCAGUCACACCCCUAAUAACAACUUGUUCUCAACUUGCCUACCUGGUUAAAUAAAGGUGAAAAAAUAAAUAAAAGAUGAGGUGCUACAUAGGCAAACUAGCCAGUUGAAUUAUUUAGACUGUCUGUAAAGAGAAGGGCAGGCUAUACGUUGAUUCUGCUGCUCUAAUUGGAUAGAAUGAAGCUCUAUUUCUUGGUCCACUUGCUUCAUAAUUUCACCCAAUCGCUUUCACUUCUCUGUUUCGGUCUAAUCAGUCAUAUUCCUGCUGCCCAAUGUUCCCUCUAAGCUGCACACGUGCACGGCUGUGCACCUCCUCCAGGACUGCCGCCCAGAAGAAAUUAGAGGUCGACCGAUUUAUAAUUUUUCAACACCGAUACCGAUUAUUGGAGGACCAAAAAAAGCCGAUACGGAUUAAUCGGCCUUUUUCUUUUUUUUCUUUUAUUUAUUUAUAUAUAUAUAUUUGUAAUAAUGACUAUUACAACAAUACUGAAUGAACAAUGAACACUUUUAUUUUAACUUAAUAUAAUACAUCAAUAAAAUCAAUUUUGUCUCAAAUAAAUAAUGAAACAUGUUCAAUUUGGUUUAAAUAAUGUAAAAACAAAGUGUUGGAGAAGAAAGUAAAACUGCAAUAUGUGCCAUGUAAAAAAGCUAACGUUUAAGUUCCUUGCUCAGAACAUGAGAACAUAUGAAAGCUGGUGGUUCCUUUUAACAUGAGUCUUCAAUAUUCCCAGGUAAGAAGUUUUAGGUUGUAGUUAUUAUAGGACUAUUUCUCUCUAUGCCAUUUGAAUUUCAUAUACCUUUGACUAUUGGAUGUUCUAAUAGGUACUUUAGUAUUGCCAGCCUAAUCUCGGGAGUUGAUAGGCUUGAAGUCAUAAAGAGCUGCUGGCAAGCACAGGAAAGUGCUGUUUGAAUGAAUGCUUACGAGCCUGCUGCUGCCUACCACCGCUCAGUCAGACUGCUCUAUCAAAUCAUAGACUUAAUUAUAAUAUAAUAACACAGAAAUACGAGCCUUAGGUCAUUAAUAUGGUCAAAUCCGGAAACUAUCAUUUCGAAAACAAAACGUUUAUUCUUUCAGUGAAAUAUGGAACCGUUCCGUAUUUUAUCUAACUGGUGGCAUCCCUAAGUCUAAAUAUUGCUGUUACAUUGCACAACCUUCAAUAUUAUGUCAUAAUUAUGUAACAUUUUGGCAAAUUAGUUAGCAACGAGCCAGGUGGCCCAAACUGUUGCAUAUACCCUGACUCUGCGUGCAAUGAAUGCAAGAGAAGUGACUCAAUUUCACCUGGUUAAUAUUGCCUGCUAACAUGAAUUUCUUUUAACUAAAUAUGCAGGUUAAAAAAAAUGAUACUUCUGUGUAUUGAUUUUAAGAAAGGCAUUGAUGUUUAUGGUUAGGUACAGUCGUGCAAUGAUUGUGCUUUUUCGCAAAUGCGCUUUUGUUAAAUCAUCCCCCGUUUGUCGAAGUUGGUUGUCUUUGUUAGGAAGAAAUGGUCUUCACACAGUUCGCAACGAGCCAGGCGACCCAAACUGCUGCAUAUACCCUGACUCUGUUGCACAGAACGCAAGAGAAGUGACACAAUUUCCCUAGUUAAAAGAACUUCAUGUUAGCAGGCAACUUCAUGUUAGCAGGCAAUAUUAACUAAAUAGGUUUAAAAAUAUAUACUUGUGUAUUGAGUUGAAGAAAGGUGUUGAUGUUUAUGGUUAGGUACACAUUGGUGCAACGACAGUGUUUUUUUUCCGCAAAUGCGCUUGUUAAAUCACCCGUUUGGCGAAGUAGGCUGUGAUUCAAUGAUAAAUUAACAGGCACCACAUCGAUUAUAUGCAACGCAGGACACGUUAGAUAAACUAGUAAUAUCAUCAACCAUGUGUAGUUAACUAGUGAUUAUGUUAAGAUUGAUUGUUUUUUUAUAAGAUCAAUUUAAUGCUAGCUAGCACCUUACCUUGGCUCCUUGUUGCACUCGCAUAACAGGUAGUCAGCCUGCCACCCAGUCUCCUCGUGGAGUGCAAUGUAAUCGGCCAUAAUCGGUGUCAAAAAAAUGCCGACUACCGAUUGUUAUGAAAACUUGAAAUCGGCCCUAAUUAAUCGGCCAUUCCGAUUAAUCAGUCGACCUCUAGAAGAAAUACCAGGCUGCGCAGAGAUACAAGAGAUUGAACUUCAUUGAGUUAGCCCAAUUAGUUUGCACUAUAUAGAUCGAUUUUUCUGUGAUCGAAUCAACAUUACAUCAUCCCCUUUUCAAUGCAACAAUCCAAACCAAAUGUAACUUUGCAAGAUUGAGUCUAUGAUUAUUUUUUCGUAGGCAGAGCCAGAGCGCAACGAAGUAGAAUUCUAUUGGCUGGGUAGCCCACGAGCAGUCUUUCAAUCACCUGAAAGUGAAUGUGCUUUUCAGAUCAGUUCAGAUCAGAGUACAGAGCUGCGCGUGAGCACAUUUGUUGAUAUUCUUUGCUAGUUAGCGAGUUAUUAGCCGGGUUAUAGAUGCGUAUAGGUCAGCAAUGGGGAGUUACUGCUUCCCACAAGAGCACAAUCUGUAGGCUACAUUUCAAGCUGUCUUUAAAAAGUCAGUCAGGUAAAAAGCUUAUGUCUUAAUUAAAGGGGCAGUGUUGUAUUUUGAGACCGGCUUGAAUAUGCUAAUAGGCAGAGGGGUUUCCUACAUUGUCUAAUUCUCUGUAUAGUAAUAAUAAUACAUUGUAUAUUGUAAAGUGGUUUCUUGCAUUAUAGACAAUACAAUGCAAUUUACAGUCACCUAUUUGGCCCAUGGUGUUACAGACCAAGUAAAAAAUCAUUAACUAAUGUCAAGCCCUGCAUAAUAUAAAAACGUUUUUAAAAGUCUCAUGCAAUGUAGGCCUGCAUUGAACACCACAGGCUACUGUAAACUAUAUCAUAGAAAUCCAAAGCUAUUUCCACGUGAAAAUAGCUUAUUGCCUACUGUCUAAAACUGUAAGGGUACAGCCUCACUGUUCACCUUAAACUCGCAUUCAAGUUUCCGCUCACAAGAACAAAAAUUUGCUCAGUGCCCCAAAAGAAUUGAGGGAACAUUGCUGCUGCCUCUUGUUAGCCUGCAACUAUGGUGAAUCAAAUGGCAAGGAUGUUUGCUAUCACGCUAUCAAUGUGCAUAAUAUCUAAAAAGAAGGGAAAGUUUGGGAACAAAGAUUCUGAUUGAUAGCAAACUGCCCGCUACAAUUUGAGGACACAGAGCCCUCCACGGCUCCUCAUCUGCAGCUUGUUUGGUCUGGAAACGUGCAGGGAGGGAGCUUAUUUGCCAAUAUCUACUUAGGCAUAUUAAAACAUUUCAUUUUUUUCCCGAUCACAAGUAACAUCCAAUCCAACUAUCAACUGUCUAUUUACAGAUACGAUUAUGGCCAUGUCAGCACACCCCUAAUACCACCACAAGGUCCAUAUAUCACUGCCUAAACAGGACAUCAUUUAUUAACAACACAAGCAGGGACCUUCAUCCAGUCUGUUUCCAGCUGUACCAUAUUUUAUAUAUGCCAUUUAGCAGACUUAGUCAUGCGACUUAGUCAUGCGUGCAUUUUUUUUUUUUUAUGUAUGUAUGGGAAUCGAACCCACCGUCCUGGCAUUGCAAGAGCCAUGCUCUACCAACUGAGCUACAGAGGACCACAUAUUUAGCAUUGUCUAUACAGUCUGACCUCAGCCAACCUCAUGCAAUACAUUCAUCUCUGACACAGAAGAUGUUAAGGUGAGUUUAUACAAUGUUCUACAAUGUUUAUUUGUUAGCAGGGCUACACUCUAAAGAAGGUAGACAGCUCCUGAUAAGUUUUGACAGAGGAGUCUUAUCCCUCCAGCAGAAGACCUGCCACUGUCCUCGCUACCGCUGUCCUCGCUACCGCUGUCCUCGCGACCGCUGUCCUUUCUGUUGUCUCACUUUCUCUGUUCAUCUCUCUCUCUACCCCCCCCGCCUCCAUGUCUCUCUCGUGCUUUCCCUCUUUCUCUCCUCCUUUGUCUCUCUGGCUCACUCCCUCUUUCUCCCCCCUCUCUCUAUGUCUCUCUUUCAUAUCAUAUUCAUACACAGAAGUGGGUCAUGGCGGUACAUAUUUUGGUGGAAUAUAAAUAUCAAGAAAUUUGUGUAACUACGGGAAAUGAACAGCCAGCCCACAGAGACCACUGCUGUGUUUAUCUUGGACAACCUCUCCCUCUGUGCUUACGCACUCUUUCAUUCUUUCCCUCCUUCAUCUCUCUCUCUCUCUCCACAGCAGACUGCUCCCAGCCGACAACUAUAAUUAUAAACUUUUUUUCCCACCAUGAGACUGAUGUUAUUGAUUAAUUUGUGAGACAUCUUUCGUGAGGCUAUUUUUCUCUUUCCUGCUCUCUUUCCCUCUCUCUCUCUCUCUCUCUCUCUCUCUCUCUCUCUCUCUCUCUCACUGAGGACAAUGCCAGGAAACAUUUCAGCAGAUUUCAGUGAAACUGCAGAACCCAGAACUGGCUUGGUGUCAACCUCACCCCCUGCCAUCCUUUCCACAUCCUCCCCCUCUUGUCACACACACUUGGUAACCAUUGGUCCAUGGUCCAGCCUAAUAUACCUGAGCGUCCAUGUUUGCUGACAUGGAGAAAACUCUAGGAGCUCUGCACGCACACACUAUUUCUCAGAAUCAUUACUCAAACCUAUUUAAGUGGCUCUGUCAGACCUAGCUGUAACGUUCUGUUGUGUGUUUCUCCAGGACAGUGUACAGGGUGGCGUACCGUCAGGUGACCAGAGCCGUGCCAGUCUCACACUCUUACCCAGAAUGCUGCCCAGGUUGGCGACGACUCCACUCACACAACUGUAAUCAAGGUAAUAGGGGUUUACACUUUCCUAGCAUCCCGUAUGUGUGCAUGUUCAUUUUUUAUUCUAUUUCUCUCUGUCCUCCAGCGGUGUGUGGCCAGUCCUGUGUGAACGGAGGAACAUGUUUAAUACCCAACCACUGCGCCUGUCCUCUGGGAUGGAUGGGUCGCCACUGCCAAACAGGUACACACACGCGCGCUCUUGCACGUACACACAGUCUUGUACAGCUAACCUUGUGGAUAGCUGUACAAUUCAGUCCCAUUCAAAAUCCAAUUUUCCCUAACCUGUACUCUUACCUUUAUGUUAACCCAAAAACCUAACCUUAAACCUAACCCUAGCUCUUAACCCUAAAACUAACCCUAGCUCCUAACCCGAACCCUUAACGUAAUUCUAACCCUAACAGGAUCAGUGACACCCAGUGUCUCCUCCCUCUCUCUGUCAGAUGUGGAUGAGUGCCGUGAGCAGCAGCCCUGUUCUCAUCAGUGUGUGAACAUGGCAGGCAGCUACCACUGUGUGUGUAGAGAGGGCUACAGGCUGGCAGGAGACACACACUCCUGUGAGAACCUUCCUCCUCCUCCUCCUGCCUCUUCCACCCACCCCAGUCAAGAAGCAGCAAACGAUCACAUACCCCCCUCCAGUGAUACAGGUACACCUCCACCAUUUUCUUUAUCCGCAGACAUGAUAGCACACGCACAUGAUUGAUUAUGUAUGUGUGUGUGUGCACGUACAUGUGUGCUGUAUGGGUGUGUGUGCUGUGUGUGUGUACGUGUGUUUCAGCAAAGUCUCCAAUGGGAGUGAAGAAGAGGACAGCCAGGCUCUUGGUCCAUUAUUACUUUUGGUACGCGCUAUGCCAAACUCUACUCGUACCGUGAGUAAUAAUGCACUGAGACUGGUACAGACUGCAAAGUGGACCGCAUGCAGUCAACAAGGUGUGGUGGUGUAUGUUAUUGCCAGAUGGACCACACUGAUAACCAGUAUAAACAAAGAUUGAUAGACCAACUGCAGUCAGCAACCAACAGUUUGUGGUCAUGUACGGUAUGACCCGGUGAACCAUGCUGAUAACCACUGUUUGAACAUCAGCUAGCUGUUUGAUGUAGACCAGGGAUGGCCAGCUUUGAUGGGGGUGGGGGCCACAAAAAAUCAGAACUCAUCAUGAGGGGCCGCAGUGGCUCGUGGGUCACAUUCCAUACCCACACAUGCAGUCAGAGCCAGCCCUAGGCUUUUGGGGCCAGGGGCCCUAAGCUAAAUGUUGUUCUACUAUUCUAACUAUCCACGGGUGGGGGGCAGUUGCCCAUCCCUGAUGUAGACCUUUCUUCCCCAUCUUUAACAUAGGAAAACUUCCUACCAUUCCAAAACGUUCCUUUAGUGUCCAGUGAAACAUCCUCCUCUCCCACACUUUCACACACUCAAGCUAUUCUCUAAACUGCUGCAUAUCACUGAAGAAAAGGGGAAAAAACAGCUCCCAUAGAUGUGCUGUGUUUGGCGUAACUUAGCAACAGGCUAAAAUAACCUCCCCUGUCUAGAAGUGGCUGGAUGGAACCCAAAGAAAUUCCCAUUUCUCUCAGACUGUAGUACGAUGAGCAUACAGUACUGUACACACAUAAAACAAGACUCAUCAUUUCCUCUACUUUAUGUCUGUCUGUCUAGAUAGAGAUGAGAUAUACAGGAUAGAUUGUCUUACACACUAAAAUACACAGAGAGAGAAAAACAGCAGUAAAAAAACAGAUAUGAGAGAUUGUACUUGGUGUAGGUGACGCAGGGGGAAUAUGUGCAGGCUCAGUACAGUUCUGUUCUCCUGGCCAACAAAGUGCAAGGCCAGCAGGCUGCUGCAGCAUUAACAUCAGCAGCAGUAUUGUCUUGGUUAAUGGCCCUAUUAUAUCAAUGAACUGUUCAUAUCCAGGCUGACGUAUGAUGUUGAUGAAGAUCACCAAGAUAAAGAAGGGAAUAAAUGCCCUGCUCAGACCUUAACAGCUCUCGUCUGAAUCCCUCCAUAUUUUUUCUUCCUUCUCGGUCUCUCUUUUCUUGGCCGGAACUUGCGCUCUCAUUCCAGCUUCGUCAACUUCAUCUGCUGGGGGUCGCCCCCACCUCCCUCCCACCCCCCCCUCCCUUUCGACUCUUGUCCCAAUAGUCCACAUCUGGGAGAGAUUGAGCUGUUCUCAGCCUUAGCUCCGUGGCUGACCGGGGGGAGACGUGGGGUUUGUACCCAGCUCUGAGCCCAUAGCUCUGGGGACCUGUCAUGGUGAGCAGGGGGACACUCGGUGGCUGGUUGGACUCAGGCCAACUUAGCUCACCCCUCCUUGUCUUGUAACUGAUACAGGACAACAUGUUUAGCCAUGAUGGACUGUGUUUAGCCAUGAUGGACUGUGUUUAGCCAUGAUGGACUGUGUUUAGCCAUGAUGGACUGUGUCUUAUUCAUAGUGCCCUCUCUUCCGGUUACAUGGUGUGUGUGUCAUUUCCCCAUAUCCUCGGCCCCUUUUGCAGUCUUAAGUUAUGGAUUUGUUACCGGCUUCACCCCUAGCACUGAAUUCCCCAGCCAGCUUGUGGUUCAGUGGUUCUCUUCCCAUCUGUUUCAUAGCUGUGAGACUGAGGCCCCCUGUCUUCUUAUGAAUCACUCAGGAGCAGGAUCAGAGUAAGAUGCUGAAGUCAUUAUCUAUCUCAAAGACAUGUCACAAGUCUAAGCUUUAGACAGAAUUGGAAGGAUUAACCAUCGCACUCUAAAAAUUGUCAGACUCCAGCCACCCUAGUCAUAGACUGUUCUCUCUGCUACCGCACAGCAAGCGGUACCGGAACGCCAAGUCGAGGUCCAAAAGGCUUCUUAACAGCUUCUACCCCCAAGCCAUAAGACUCCUGAACAGCUAAUCAAAGGGCUACCCAGACCCCUCUUUUACGCUGCUGCUACUCUUUGUUCAUAAUCUAUGCAUAGUCACUUCAACUCUACCUACAUGGACAUAUUACCUCGACUAACUGGUGCCCCCGCACACUGACUCUGUACUGGUACCCCCUGUAUAUAGCUUCGCUAUUGUUAUUUACUGCUGCUGUUUAAUAAUUUUUUACUUAUCUAUUUUUUUACCUAACCCUUUUUUAUCUUAAAACUUCUUAAAGCAUUGUUGGUUAAGGGCUUGUAAGUAAGCAUUUCACUGUAAGGUCUGUUGUACUCGGUGCAUACAAUUUGAUUUGAUCUGUCCCCAAAUCUUUGUAAACUAACCCUACUGGGUCAUAUUCAGUAGGGUUCACUGUAGCAAAACGUUUUGCAACAGAAAAUUAAAAUCUGUGUUCUUAUUGAAGCAGGUCAGGUAGUACCUCAUAGUUUUCAAAAAGUUUUCUCCCAAUAGACAACACCAUUGUGCAGAUAGAGGGUGUCUUAAAUACUGGUGAUCCACAGUGUGAUUGUGUGUGUUGUCUACAGGUGGAGGGUUUGGGCUGACUGAGAACGUCACAGAGGAGGUCCAGAGCCUGAAGAACAGAGUAGAGCUGCUGGAACAGGUACGACUGCACCCCCUGUUCUCUACCAUCACCUGCACACACAGCUUUGUUUUGGGGAAUUUUCAGGACUUUCUGGGAAGUAAAAAUGUAUUCCCAUUCAAAAUUCUACUUUCACUAACUCUAAACCUAACCUUAACCUCAAACCCUAAACCUAACCUUUCAGCCAAAAAUAGCAUUUUAACAAAUUCAGGACAUUUAAAAAAUAUAUAUAUAUUAUUUUCCUACCUUGUCAGAACAUUCUGGUGACUUGUCAGGAGAUUGUGGUCCUGAUAAAGUAGGAAAAUGUGUACACACACAUUCACACGGUCUCACAAACAGGUGUACAUACCCUCUCCCUCCCUAUCCUUGUAAAGUCCCCCUUAAACCCUUGCCAGUACACCUCUAGCAUCUCCCACCCACUCUGAGCCAGCACCAGGCAGAUACACGUUAGACUGUUAUGCUGGUGUAUUAUCAAAUACCACUCAAGAUGUAAUCAUGAACUUUGUUAACCAACAGAGAACACACGCACUCACAAAACCCAGCAUCCUUUGAAAUGCCAGACUGUCAUAGUGACCUUUUAAACGUCUUUUUAGUUUUUCAUUAGAAGUCAUGUCGUUAAUGCUCCGUGGAUUACAGUAAAAGUAAAUGAGGGGAUGCAGGCAGCUGAAAUGGGAGGAUCCGUAUAAUAUAGCAGUACUUUCACAUUACAGCGACCGCUGUGAUGGCAAGACGGAUUGUGUUGGGAUUUGUUGCCAAUAGGGAAAUAAAUGACUUUAUUUCUCUGUAUUGCUGUCAUCCUCUCUGUUGUUGUGUUUGUCACAUACACUAAACCCCCUCAUCUUUUCUCCCUGCCACUGCCCUUCUCUUCCUCUUUUAUUUCUCUCCCUCUCCCCUCACUCUUCUCUCUCCUACCGCCCUCUUCCAAACCUCUCUCCCUCUUCCAAACCUCUCUCCACUCUCUCUUGCCUCCCUCUUCCAAACCUCUCCUCUCUCCCUCCCUUUUCACCUCUCCAGAAGCUCCAGUUGGUCCUGGCCCCUUUCACCAGUCUGUUCCCCAUGUCGCUGGACGAGGGCGUGUCUGAGAAAACCAGCUUCCUGUCCCACUCCUUCCAGCAGCUGGAUCGCAUCGACUCGCUCAGCGAACAGGUCGGCUUCCUCGAGGAACGCCUCGGAACAUGUGAGUGGAUAAAGUCAAAGUUUAAAACAUUUUAUUGUACUCCUCUUGUUGGACAGGACAAAGUGGCCAUAUAAAGGCUUGAAGUGGAUGUGAAGUGAUUUGGUUGACUAUGGAUAGUAACAUUGAUUUGUCCUUUGUUGCUAAAGGUUCCUGCCAAGAGAAUUAGAAACAACAGGACUGGGUCACCCUCACCAACUAGAUAUCUCCACACAAGUCUGAGUCCACAACACAAUAACAAUAGGAAUGGAAUGAAUGCCCCAGCCCAGCGAUAUGGAGGAGGAGCAAUAUUAGUAGAACAUAGGCCUACUCAGUGUUUUGUGUAUUCCUGUUCCUAUACCAGCCCAAAGGCUAACUUGAACACUAGCUCUAUGAUGGGCAACCCUGUCAUGUGCUAUAUGUCAGUGACACAUACAACCCAUUUAAGUGUCCCUUUCUCCCAACAGCAUAAUUUCAUGUCAUUGCUGUAUUACGGAGACAUAGAAGAGCAUAUAGCAUCACCACCUGUGACGGUUACAGGGGCCUCAUUCCCCCAUUAGCACAUUACCUGAGAGUCAAAGUUCAAACUGCCAAUUUCACUCUGAAGGAUCUGGUUUCCAUGUUUUAGGUUCACAUCAGUCCACUGUCAGAGCCCCCAUGGUGGGGUUUGCAUGGACAUCUGUAUUUAUGUAUUUAAGUUAGAAUUCCUUGUGCUUAUUUCAUAGAGAUACAAUAGACAGUUUACUUUUUUUUUACCUUGUUUUGUAACUUUUUGUAAUAAAAUUGAUUAAAUCAAAAAUGUCUGGUAGAAGAUUUGUGUGUGUGCUCCACGUGGAAGAACAAGAGAUCUCAUUUGAACACAUUACUCGUUGCCGAUUUCAAUUCUAUGGAGAGUUAAGAAACAGUCACACGGGGUCCAAAUCCCAUCUGCAAAGCCUGGGUCUCCACUGCUAGCAAACACACAGCAAUAAAGCACUACAACAGCUCCUUAAGAAACAAAAUGACAUUUAUUAUUUUCCAAACAAUUCAUCAAACAUGUUUAAUCAAUAUUUCUGUGAAAUCAAGAAACACAUCGAUAUUAACCAGAUACUACAAUGGGCUUAUAUGUUGUCGUGUGUGUACGUCUAGGCCACACAGACAGCUCAGCAGGAUGUCGUAAGACAGACGCCUUGGCCAGCUCAAUGGUUCAUAGUCAUCUAAAGCCAACAGAUUACACUUUAAUUGCUUUGGUGAAAUUCAUAGAAUAUUUUGAUAAGAUUUGUUCUUUUUAAAUAUAACCACACAAACUCAACAUGAAAAGUGCUUUAUUCAUAUUUAGAAUACUUUAAAUCUUUCUCCAAUAUCUUAAAUAUAAUUUUGUAAACAGCCAGAUCAACCAACCAGGCUCCCAAAGUAGUGCUGCAGAGCCUGUUGAGUUAACAUAUGACGUUUUUAGCUGACACACUAGAAAGUUAAGCUACAAAACAUCAUGAAAAUAAUCAAUAGGCUAACUAUUGACCAUGGUCUAAAAAUCAAUGACAGUAUACAUUUGGUAGCAUCUUUGAUGAACAUUCAAACCUCUAAGAUUUUUAAAAAGACACCACUGCAUUUUAAGAUAACAAAAACCAUGAAAGGCUUACUAUUGUUAAUAUAUACUUCUAUUAACAAAAAUGAAUGUCACAGAUUUAUUUGAUGUAUUCAGACUGACUGGCGUAUGUAUAUUCCGUACAUGGUGGUACUGGCCUUCAAGAACAUAAAGAUGAGGAAAGCCCGAGCCUUGAGCUGAUUUACUCCUCGGAACCAAGUAAGCCAAAAGCCCAGCAGGUGCCGGUAAAGCUACUGUAGACAAUCGACUAUGAAGAGGCCUCGUAUACAGGGUUAUUACCAGACAAAGCAUAGAUGUUUUCACUUCUACAGCAUGAGCGCCUCAACAGGGUUGGAGUUAAUCAAUUCCAUUUUUCAAUUCAGUCAAUUCAGGAAGUAAACUGAAAUUCUAAUUUCCGGUAAAAAAAAAUCUGAGAAGCACUGAGGAUAAUUGAAGUAGAUGUUUUUUUUGGAUUGACUGAAUUUAAAUUGAUUGAUCCUCAACACUGUUCCUCAGGAAGUUUGGGUGCACAACAAAGAAAAAUGCUGGAGAUAAAAUUAAGUGUACAAUUACUUUACCUUAAUUUUAAAUAAAAACAAUUAAUCAUUGACAUUUCUUUGUGUCAGAAACAGACUGUAUGCAAAACAUAAUUCCAUUGAAAUAAGUUAUACUUAAAAUUAAAAAGAUUGAAAAAUAAAGAGUUAAAUGCAAUAAGUAGUACACAAAUAAUCCUGAAAUACAUUCUCAGACCGGUGUUUUUGACAGGCAAAAAGCUGCAAGCGACUUCAUUUUAGCCAACUGUAAUGUAAAGGCAGUGAAUAUUAAAAAUGUCAAGAUCUGGAUACAAAUUAUAAUAAGAAGCUGCGUUGCCAUACAUUAAAAGUAUGUCAUUCCAGUUAUGUCUAUUAAUUACAAAAUAUAAAACCUCUCACAAGUUUACAAACUUCACAAUCCCAACUUUGAUUAUUACUACCUUGAAUACAAGGCCAAAAACAUUCAGCCAAUUCCUCGCUUCCUUUAAAAAUAGACCACGCCUUUUCCCCACAGUCAGUUCUACAUAUCAUACACCAUCCAUCGAUAAAAUCAUCAAAUUUAAUAUUCUCAGUUUUGGGUAUCAUAAUUGGUCAGAAAACCACAGUAUGUAUUGAUAGGAGAUGUCUAUGCGUGUAUCCCUCCUCUUCCCCAUUCCCCUAUAAUAGGAAAAGCACCGGUUCAUCAAGUAUAAAGCUAAGGUAACCACUGACAGCAGCCCUUCUAUACUGAAUAUAAAUGUAACAUGCAAAGUGUUGGUCCAAUGUGUCAUGAACUGAAAUAAAAUAUCCCAGAAAUGUUCCAUUGGCACAAAAAGCUUAUGUCUCUCAAAUUUUGAGCACAAAUUUGUUUACAUCCCUAUUAGUGAGCAUUUCUAAAUUGUCAUGGUAAUUUAUCCACGUGACAGGUGUGGCAUAUCAAGAAGCUAAUUAAACAGCAUGAUCAUUACACAGGCACACCUUGUGCUGGGGACAAUAAAAGGCCACUAAAAUGUGCAGUUGUCACACAACACGAUACCACAGAUGUGUCAAGUUGAGGAAACGCGCAAUUAGCAUGCUGACUGCAGGAACGUCCAACAGAGCUCUUGCCAGAGAAUUGAAUGUUAAUUUCUCUACCAUAAGCCACCUCCAAUGUCAAUUUAGAGAAUUUGGCAGUACGUACAACUGGCUCACAACUGCAGACUAUGUGUAACCACAACAGCUCAGGCCCUCCACAUCCGGCUUCCUCACCUGUGGGAUCGCAGGGGUGCUGAGGAGUAUUUCUGUCUGUAAUAAAGCCCUUUUGUGGGGAAAAACUGAUUCUGACUGACUGGGCCUUGCACCCAAGUGGGUGGGCCUAUGCCCUCCCAGGCCCAACCAUGGCCGUGCCCCUGCCCAGUCAUGUGAACGCCAUAAAUGAAUUUCCUUCUAUGAACUGUAAUUCAGUAAAAUCUUUAAAAUAGUUGCAUGUUGCACUUAUAUUUUAGUUCAGUAUAGUUAUCAUGUAACAAUAAGGAACAUUUGGCCAAGCAAAGAACGCACAAGACUUAGCUAAUAAAUGUUACUGUGGUGAAAGGAUGCAGCAAUUGUUUUAGCAUUUGAUAAUUUACUGGGGAAAAAAAUAAUUGUACAACAUAUCAGGGUAUAUGUUACUUAACUAUGGGGACUGCUAUCAUGAUGGUUACCAAAAUACAGGUUGGUGUUCAGUUUGAGGAGAAUUUGAUUCACAUUUCACCUCUUCUGAGAUGUGUUUUUGGGGUGUAGGUUGGGACAAGCAGGGUUUAUUAGUAGUUAGUAAAAACUCAACAUUAAAACAAAACUUAACAUCUGAAAUCUGAUCUCGUUUGAUGUGGUUAAGCCUCCUGAUAUCAUCACGAUACCAUCGUCUCCGCAGUGCAGCAAGGACUCCAGACUUUUCAUUGGAAACCGUAAAACCGAUCAAUCACUAACAGAGCACAGGGUUACAUUUAAAACAAUCCCCUCAUUAGAACACUUUGUACUGUACCCGUGUUACAUCUAGAUCACUUCCCAAUGUGUUACUUUUAAAGCACUAGCACACUUUUUCCAACAAAAAACAGAGUUCCUGUUGGACAAAUUCAAGUAGGCCCCUCCCUGUUUCAUUCAGUUUGCUCCAUUUGCUUUGUUUGGCUCUUAAAACGGUUUCCGUUGCAAGAUGUAAUGAAUACAUCCUAGAACUCUUGCACUUUGGAGCAGUUUAGAUUGAACAGUUGGACAUUGCACUUCAUAAAAUCGCCUUUUAUACAUCUUAAAUAGGUUCUUCGUGCACGAAGAACAGAACUUUAAGACAUAAAAGUCACAUAAAAAAAAAAUAACAAGACCAUAUGAUGUAGAUAUAAAUAAAGAGAAAUAUAGAACACAGCUGAAAAAAAACAAACAUUUUGCUCUGUUACAUGCAUCUUAUUUCUUAGGUGGAUAGAAAAUAAAAAUGAAGAAAAUCUGUGUAGUACACCAAAAAUGCACAACAUUUGGAAACUGAUAAGUCCAGUAAAGUCCAUGAAUUCACUGAGGAUGGUUCUUGUCUUCGUUGUAUCCCUUGGUGUUUGGCGUGGUACAUUAUAUCAUGGUACAGUAUAUCAAGCAUGGUACAGUAUAUCAUUGAGCUAUUGUGAUAAAGUGGUUGAGAAGCCAGUGUGGUUGGUAUGCAUGUAAGUAAGUAACAAUAUAGAGUGGAUUCCACUGAGACACAUAAGGAACAAGUCCCUAAGUCAACUACUGUUGAUCUGGUCUCGUUCCUCUGUUGCCCUCCACCUCCCCUCCAGACCCCCUGGUCCUCCAGAGCCCCUGUUCCCCCUCUUCUUCAGAGACAAUAGGCUGGAAUGCAGAACAGGGGAGGAUUCACUGGGGUUGGGUGGGAUGUGGUGUUGGGCAGGGGGAACUGUUGUGUGUGCAUGUUAAAGCCGGGUGGUUGUGUGUGUCUGAGAGCACAUUAAGAAAAAAGAUUAGGCAGCACCAGAAGAAGGUAUAAAUAUCCACUGGUGACAUUUACGAAAAUCUAAAGUCAAGCCGGAGGAAGGGAGAGGGAAACAAGCGAAAGCACAACUACUGCCAUAAAAUCAGACAACCAUAAAGCCACUUAAAAACAGAUAAACAAAACAAAAUGGUGGACAACAGAGCUAUCCAAAAGGAAUGCAUGAUGAACCCACAUCACAUCCAUACCAUUCUAACCUGCAGAUCAAACAGAGCUGCUGCAGUGAGAGGUCAGGGCUGGAAUGUACUGGCUGGGUCAGACCAGGAACCAAACUGGACCAGGCCAACAUCAGAAAACUUCAUGACGUAGACCCGGUGUGUGCGUUCUGUCCUGGUAGAGAUACACUCAAAUAUAUUGGCACCCUUCACUAUGUCUUUUAAGAUAAGUUGACAUUUAAAAAACAUUUGGUGUACACACAUGUAUUUGUUUGAUUUACAACUGCACAGGACCAAUACAUUUUUUUUCUUCUAAAAUUGAGAUUUUUCACUUAAGUUAAAAAUAUUGCCUGGACUAAAUUAUAAAAAAUUAAUUUGGUUGGUUGGAAGCAAUUAUCUUGUUUACGGUGUCAUUUCUCUCACCCGUGGUAAGUUGCAGGUGUCUUAAGGGUAAGACAUAGCCAUUCAACCAGUUUUGAAAAGAGAAAACAGAACAUUCUGCACCAUUGUAAAAGUGCGAGGGUGCCAAUAUAUUUGACUUAAUUUGUAAGUAGGUAGGUAGGGAGCUGGGACGAUGUGGAGGGGAGAGAAGAGGGGAAGAGUUUGGUGUCUCGGACAGGAAAAUGAGGAGGGAGGUUGUUCAUGUUUAGUGGUGCAAGGAGGGCCCGUUGCUCUGGGUUACGGGGGCAGAGCCAGAGAUGUCCAGGAAGACGGAGCGCAUAAGGUCGUAGGACUUGUCGGAGAGGUCGGCCACGUCGUCUGACGUCAUGCCCUUCGUCUCAAUCUUCGGAAGGAUCUUCAGUGUGAUGGUCCCUUGUUAGAGCAUAGCGUAAACAUCAAUAUCAUCAUAAACAUCACAACAACCCUCAUCUUGUCUGCAUGGACGCAAAAGACAACUUCUUUCUAUAAAUAAUAUCAUGAGCCAUUAAUGUCAAGAGUAGCUGUGGAUAACCCCUUUCAAUAUGAACUACAAACAUCUGUACCCGAGUUGAACUGCUUUUCUUUCCGUAGGUAGAAGUUACUGUAGGAGGAGAACACGAUGGGAAUGAUAGGAGCCUGAAACAGAGACAGAAGCAAGAAAGAAAGAGAGAGAGAAGCAAGAAAAGGAAUUACCAUGACAGUUCGUUCGACAUUCGAUUUAAGCCCAGGGUACCAAAAUACCAUUCUUUUUUCCAAGAUCAAACCAACAAGUAUAAUCUACUUUAAGGAUGCUUCCCUCCCUCAGGCAAGACAAACAUGAACACACAGACAAAGACAUGCAUGGCUGACUGGCCUACACAGACUGUCUGUACACAUAUCUAUGGGCACGCACGCACAUGCACCAUCUCCUCCAGCCCUGCAGCGGCAGACCUAGAGAUAUCGUUAGCUCUGCAUUGGAGCACAACAGUCAUGUGUUAAUGAUAUGGGAAACACAAAUAUACACCAUUCUGCAGAGAUCUACUAUACGGAUGAGUGUUUUGUGUUGACCCUUCUGUAGACCAGAGAUUCCUCAGAUAUUUCUGUGUUAGUUAAUAUGGACCAGCAGGUCUUGGUUACUGUGUUCCAUCUGUUUCUCAGAUCUAUCCACUGAUACACAUCUACACACAACCUUUGAGCAUGCAGGCGCACAAGGCCUACAUUGAAUACAGGCUACACAGACAAACUACAAUAAACACACACACUUCGACACCUCAUAACCUGGAGUGAACCUGCGGUGUCUGUCUGGCUCUGUUUCAUGUAACGUUCUUUACAUUUAUUCCAUCCAUUUCCCUCCCUCAGUCUUUCACUCUCCCCAACACUCAUCCUAUAUCGCCCUCCAUCUAUAACUUCAGAAACCCUUUCCAUUAGGCGCCCUCUCUCCCACUGUAUUGCUCCCUCGGUCUUUGCUUCUCUCAGUCCCUCUUACUCUAGCUCUCUUUGUCUUCCAUCUAUGCCAAAGGUAGUGAAAAUGUCCUCUGCA